GGCCAAAUAGCUCAGUUGGUAGAGCAUGGGACUCUUAAUCUAAAGAUCAUGGGUUGGAGCCCCAUACUGGGCA